ACGUUUUGUUCUAUGACAUAAAAUACACCAGUUAUAAUCGGCUUGUGAUUUUUUUAAACUUUAUUGUGCCUUAAAAACGGUGGUUGCUAACAAGUUGCUAAUAGGGACUACAUCCGUGGCGGGGAGUUUAGACGUCAUCAUGACAGGAAAUCUCACUAGCCUUUCAGCCUCAAGUCACGUUCUCAGAAGUUUACCUUUCAGUUAAUGUACAUAACGUUAUGUAUUUAGUCUUUUCAAAUUGUAGUUUUUCCAAAUAUUGUUGUACUGUGGAGAGACUGUAGUUUGACAUGUUUUGUUUUGUCCGGAGAUGCAACCACAAGUGGUCGAUGAAAGAUUCUCGUUUACCGUCCGAUGUUCCCCAGCGGAGCCUGUUCGUGCCGUAAGACGAGCUGACCGGAUGCCCAGUGUCCAUUCUCGCAUCUGCAGCUGUCAUUUUCCUGCAGGGGAUAAAUUGUCCCCGUUUUGUUUAUAUCCACAAAUGAUGUUCCCACUGGACAAAUUUUGGAAGAUCAUUCAUACUCCCUGAGACAGGAUAGGGCUGAUGUGCCUAAAAAUGUUCCACCACCCAUUUAUAAAGAGGAGGAAAUGGCUACCAUUUAUGGCUGACAAAGAUGAUGAACCAUCUAAAGCACAACUAAAGAAGAGCUGCAGUCUGGACGAAGAAGAAGAAUCCAGCUUAAGAUUGAGUUAGAGCAUUCCAUAACAGAGAUUCAGCAUCUCAAAGACUAACUCCAAAGGCAAAUGAGUAACUGUCAUGACAGGUAUUCAGCCUUUCAGAUGAGUGAAAGUGUGAAUCGAAUGGAGACAGGAUUGCCAGAUAGAGAUACUUUCAGUGCUGUGUGUGAAUAUGUUGCUCAUUUUGAGGAUUCCAUUACGUACUUUGCUGGAUGGAGGAGACCCAAAGAAAUCAUCCUUGAGGACCUUGAUUAAAAUUCGCCACAACUAUACACACUUGCACUUGCAUUUUCCAUGUGGGCAUUCACAUUGUGUUGCAAAAAUACCUUCUUUCCCUGUAGAGACUUGUCAUGUGAAUUAUAUAGUAUAUAGUUUGUUUUCAGUUUACUUAUUUUAUGAAAAUAAAGAUGUUUACUACAAAA